rnacentral:snRNA from 1 species
AUUUGUACAUUAAGCAAUUAUUAUUUUUUGAACGAUACAGAGAUUAGCAUGGCCCCUGUGCAAGGAUAACAUGCAAAUUCAUGAAGCAUUCCAUAUUUUA